UUACUUACUCGUAACUGUGCCGCCCCCGUCCUCUGCGGAAUCCCGCUGGUCGCAAUGAUUCGGGCGUUCUGGUGAUUGUGUGAUACGACGUAGAUGGCUGCAAUUAAUAUCUAUCACUGGGUUGUCGGGUCCAGACUCAAUUAUUUAUAGGCCGCCAAUAUAUACCUGGAAGAAGUUCCCAGUGCGGCGUUAACAAAAACAAAUAUAUGUAGAACAAUACUUUUUUACACAUAAGGCAUCGAAAGAAACACUCGCGUUAAACAUAAUAAUAUUUAUCUAUUUCUUGUCUAUUUAGAUCCUCUUGACUGUAAGUGUUUGUCGCGUAUUUCUAUUAUGGAAUAAAUAGCUAUGAAACAGAUCCCAAGAAGAGAAAACUCUGCGUGUUGCAACUUGUGUUCAUGGACGUGUAACAUAGAGCAUGUGUGAAUGGUUGCCCCGGCUGUGGAAUGUACACACGCGUAGUUAGGUUAUGAUCAUUCUAAACUAUACUCUGUAUAUCUAUACUCCCGAAGUACAAGAACACCCCUCACGGUAGUUCGGAUCGUCGUGAUUACUCGUUAGAACGUAACAAACCAUACCACUUGGAAUUCGCUCUCUUGGUUUUACUGCGACGUUAUUUCUGAUCGUUUAUAAAUUCACUGCUAAGAACCUUUGCUAUCACAUGGCUGUCAUGUAUCAAUAUUCACAAUGCAAGGACCUUCCACACUAAUGAAAUGCACAUAUGAACAACGAAUAAUAGCCGGGUUUUCCCAGUCCCUUUAUUUCCAUUAACACGUGGGUGUAUUUUUAUAAUCCUGCAUCAAAAGACUUGCGCGGAUGCAGUACUUGUAUAUCGCGACAUAGAACAGUCACCGUGCCUUCACGUUACAGGAUAAGAAGCUCAUUUGUCUGAAUGAACACCUUUAAACAUAUGACCCUUGUUUCUGAAAUCCUGGUCGGAAUGGUGGUCACGUUGUGUGCCCCCACAGGAAGACGCAUGCUGAAGAAUGAGUGUCUGUGCAUCCCGCGCAGAGACAUAUACCUGUACAAACUAAUUGCAAACUAUAAGAAGAAACAACCAUCAAUUCUUGUUUUCACAAUACCUAAAGUGAAGAAACGGUUCGAACCAUUUUGGAAGGAGGCAUUGAAGAAUGUACCUACGACAAAUCCCUGGAUUGAUAACUUACUUGGGACCAGAAAAAACAAGAUCCUGAAAGACGAGAGAUACCUGUGCACUACAUCCAUUAUGAUGGACGUUGACAAUUUGAGAUUUCCAGGAACACGAGACUUUGUUCAGUGUCGUAAAACCAGGUUGGGAAGUGCCGGGACGUGUGUGGAUGUGAGUGAACCAGUUGUUGCUCUGAGAAUUACCAACCCAAGACAGAAGACACGUAAGUGUCGAUAUGUGCCCACCAUAGAAUGGAGGGUUGUUGGGUGCUCUUGGCUACCAGAUGGACUCAGUAGAAUGAAGGUACAUAAACGCCCCCAUCAUUAAUGAACAAAUCAACGUCUGCAUUUAGAUUUGCAUGAAUACGGAAGGUGAUAAAUGCGAGAUUCAGGAUGUGAAGUGUAUCAAGUGUCUGUCUGAAUUUGAUACGAUUGUUUUGUGCCAAUUGUGUGCAUUUAUUCCAUGAAAUGGUGCGACAUAUUACCAUCGACGUUUCUUUAUUGUCCAUUUAUUACACAACUCUUGUGAUGCAGAUAUAGUUUACCUACCCCUUGGAUCCACCUAAAUCAUUCUUAAGUGAAUGUAAAUGCCCAUGAACAGAACAACGUCACUACUAGACCUGUUUCACACUUGGGUGGAAUAACAACGCAGUGACCUCUAAAACAUUUCACAAGCUUUAAGGACGAUUUACUUCCAGUUAUUCUCUGAUGUACAUCACCAUCAUGUGUUAUAUACACCAUGGUGACGCAGACUAUGGUUGACAUUAUGGUGGGCGUAUUCACAAUCAAUGUCUCCUUCCCAACAUUCCAUUCCACCUCCAUUCAUUACGUGUACCUGGGAAAUAUAUAGCAUUUCCAACUCGACCUGUGACGUGGUGCUAUAAACAGCUGUGAAUUCCCAGUGUGUAAAUACAUCCAAAGGUCUCCUAAUAAAAGAACAUACACGUAUCAGACAAUGAUCCUAAGUUGCUUUAAUCGAGAUCAGAUUAUUCAUGAACGGUGAGCAGCAGAUACGGAAGAUAAUUAUGUCAAUAGUUUAGGGGAUUCAUGAAAUUAUAUAUUACUAUGAUGAACAGGAGAAAGCUUUGAAAACUAGCUGAGUUAGAACGGUUUAGGGACCAAAACCUAACUCCCCAAACACCCCCGAAACAUUGCACGUGAACCAUGCAGCUCCACCGUGCACGUGGUCAUUUAUGAUUCUGACACUUCAGUGAAAGGAGUCAUUGGUGUUGUUGAUUUUCAUUAUCCACAGUAACAUGUAGGCUCUCUACUCUUGCUUGAAUGCAGUAUUUGUGUUCAUAUCGGGAAAUCGGUCGUCUACUAAGUGACUGACGCCUUAGGGCGUAUGGCAUGCGUCAAACUGGUAGAAUUCAGCAGCAGGUAGCUAAUUAUAAAGUAGUCGUCCUGAAGCCUGGUUUCUUUGAUUCUUCUUAAGUCUCGGCAUGGCGCUAUUAUCGAUACAAGAAUGUUGGAUCCACGUAUUGGCGUGUCGUUUUUCAGAAAAGGCACAAGGAAACGAAAACGAAUUUAUAGAUUUCAUGGAAAGCAUUCGAGACGUUAUACUAUGUUUGUUGUUAAGCUGCUUUUCGACGACCCAUUAUAUCAUUAUUUGUGUCACGUUUUGGCCGUUAACAAUACACGUGACCAAUGUCAAAAAGGAGAUACCUCCAACAGGCAGCAUUGAUAUUUCAAUGGGAAAUUUUCAUGAAGUGACGGGGCGGUCGUGUAUCCUAGUGGUUAAAGCGUAAGCUCGUCACGCCGAGACCCGGGUUCGAUUUCCGAUAUGGGUACAAUGUGUGAAGCCAAUUUCUGGUGUCCCCCGCCGUGAUAUUACUGGAACAUUGCUAAAAGCGGCGUAAAACCAAACUCACUCACUCACUAAUGAAGUGAAGUUUCCUUUGUGGUUCAGUAGGUGUUCAUUGUAUCUCAGUCUUUGAUUUGCAGACUUUGGAACAGACUUUAAGAAAUCGAGCCUAAACAGCUGUUGGACAAGGCCAUCGGAAUUACUGUUACCGACCACACAAUAAGUAAUCUAAUCUACAUACUCGGGGACUACGUGUUUUACUACCAUUAACAAAGCGAAACAUUCGAGGCAUACGCCAAUGGCGUUUUGAGCGUAGAAACUGGAAUAGAUCGCCCACUGUCUCGCGUAAAGUUUUCACAUGAAUCCAGUGUAACUCAGGACUUUCAGGAUAGGCGGGGACGUGUGGAGGCUUUCUAACGAACGGCAUGCGAAAGCCAACGUAAGGCACCAUGACAUAUUUGGGGGUGGGUCUAUAAUGACAUUGGACGUGAUGACUAUAACUGCCAGAACACCACUGCGUACUGAUCACUGGACAGUACUACCAAGACAACAUACUGGCGCCAAUAGUUGCCGUUUGCGCGCAUUGCUGGUUCACGUUUUGUCUUUCAAGGCGCUAAAGCUCGUGCUAACUGUGCACGUAUCGAUUAGCUUCAGCAGAUUACAUUCAGCAGCAAAACGUCACCAGAAUGCCAUGGCCAGCCAGGAGCCCUGACCUUUCCCCCAUAGAUCACGUCUGACACAUCACCAGAAUGCCAUGGCCAGCCAGGGGCCCUGACCUUUCCCCCAUAGAUCACGUCUGACACAUCACCAGAAUGCCAUGGCCAACCAGGGGCCCUGACCUUUCCCCCAUAGAUCACGUCUGACACAUCACCAGAAUGCCAUGGCCAGCCAGGGGCCCUGACCUUUCCCCCAUAGAUCACGUCUGACACAUCACCAGAAUGCCAUGGCCAGCCAGGGGCCCUGACCUUUCCCCCAUAGAUCACGUCUGACACAUCACCAGAAUGCCAUGGCCAGCCAGGGGCCCUGACCUUUCCCCCAUAGAUCACGUCUGACACAUCACCAGAAUGCCAUGGCCAGCCAGGGGCCCUGACCUUUCCCCCAUAGAUCACGUCUGACACAUCACCAGAAUGCCAUGGCCAACCAGGGGCCCUGACCUUUCCCCCAUAGAUCACGUCUGACACAUCACCAGAAUGUCAUGGCCAGCCAGGGAUCCUAGCCUUUCCGCCAUAGAUCACGUCUGACACAUCACCAGAAUGCCAUGGCCAGCCAGGGGUCCUAGCCGUUCCCCCAUAGAUCACGUCUGACACAUCACCAGAAUGCCAUGGCCAGCCAGGGGCCCUGACCUUUCCCCCAUAGAUCACGUCUGACACAUCACCAGAAUGCCAUGGCCACCCAGGGGCCCUGGCCUUUCCCCCAUAAAUCACGUCUGACACACGAUCGGGACAGGUUUACGCCGACGUAGACGUUAGCCAGUCCUUACUUAUUCUAAUCAAUCCAUUACAAUAACCGCAUUCCUAUUUACAUUUCUGUAAUCAUCUGUUAUUUCCGAAUAUCCUCUACUGUUUCCUGAGAGUAUGUAUUUAUGUGUACAGCGUGUAAAAUGCACGAGUUCGCCACACACAGAAAUGGUUUCUUGCUUGGCAUAAAUCAGUGAAGGUAUGUGUAUAUGGGUCAUGUCCAAGGACAACACAUUCUACAGCAGUGUGUUUGUGUCACAAAUGCAUGCAUUUGGCCGUGUUUGUACACAACACUGCUUGACGCCGUGUAUUCAUUGCGUGUAUGUAUUAUUCCCUGUCUAACAGCAUGAAGACAGUGCUCCUGUGUAUCGCGUCUCAGUUCGCUCUUACUUCAGACAUUCCUUCCACAACAGCCACACACACACAUGCCAUAUAGCAGAAGUUCUGUUACACACCACCGUUCCCCAACAGUUCUAUAUUCAUAAACAUGCUUUAUAUGAAUGCUUCAUGUGCUUUAAACAAAUAUACAUGGAUUCACUGUUCACUGACCAGAUCCUUAUAUUUGUGAACGUACUCAUAACGUAUUGCUCUUCUUAGGCGGGUUCGAUUUCCAACAUGUGAUGUGUAUUACUCCCGCCAUCGUGUCAUUGGAACAGUUGCAAUACAACCAUCGUACACAAGUAUGGUAGGAAUGUAUAUAUGCAUAUAACUUCAUCUUUUAGUUGGAUGUAUGUCGGAUGUUGAUAUUCAUACCUUGUUUGGUUCAUAACGAGGAACGUGAUUUAUCAAUUCUGUCAUCCCACUAUAUUGCUACAAGUCAAGAACCCCACAUCUUCCCGAGGCAAGAGAGUUAACUGUCUUUAAAAGUCCAGUUUCCACCCUUGACGAACUAGGCCUGAAUUCCUGUGCUCGAUCGUAGCGCCACCAGUGGCUAUAACGAGUUAUGUCCCUUCUAUGCCUCUCCUAUGUACCCGUCAGAUUCCACCUCUCGUAUCACUUGCAUUUACUUCAAAAAAAAUGGCGGCGCCAGGUCAAGACGAUCCGAUCGAUAAUCAAGAUCUAUAUUGUGAUAAAACGGGUCUUACAUCGCCAAGUGCACCAAGUCACGUGAGAACCUGGAAUAAAAACAUGGCGGUUGCACUUUCUUUGAAAUUCCUGCAAUUGACCGAAAUCUGCAUGACAGUUUUCAAACCAGAUUUCGAUUUCGUUGCUCGAUUGUGAUUGGACUAUGCAUAGACUCGUUGGUCCAGCCAAAAUGUAACUCCAUAAUACCAGCCUAGCGCCCUUGCGUUUGGAUAAUACUUGUCACCUACCAUCGGACGAACCCUUGUGAUCGUUAACCAAUAAGCCCCAUUUGUUUUCACAACCGAUCAUCAAUCGUCACAUAUGGAAGGGGCCUGCAAUCAACAUAAUAAUAUUCUUACAAAUAAAGCAGUCAUGAUCAGAUUAUGGAUUAAACUUUACCGUGUUUGCGUA